GACGAACGCUGGCGGCGUGCUUAACACAUGCAAGUCGAACGGUAAGGCCCUUCGGGGUACACGAGUGGCGAACGGGUGAGUAACACGUGGGUGAUCUGCCCUGCACUUCGGGAUAAGCCUGGGAAACUGGGUCUAAUACCGGAUAGGAUCACUGCCUGCAUGGGUGGUGGUGGAAAGCUUUUGAGGUGUGGGAUGGGCCCGCGGCCUAUCAGCUUGUUGGAGUGGUGAUGGCCUACCAAGGCGACGACGGGUAGCCGGCCUGAGAGGGUGACCGGCCACACUAGGACUGAGAUACGGCCCAGACUCCUACGGGAGGCAGCAGUGGGGAAUAUUGCACAAUGGGCGCAAGCCUGAUGCAGCGACGCCGCGUGAGAGAUGACGGCCUUCGGGUUGUAAACCUCUUUCAGCACCGACGAAGCGCAAGUGACGGUAGGUGCAGAAGAAGGACCGGCCAACUACGUGCCAGCCGCCGCGGUAAUAC
rnacentral:rRNA from 1 species